AGAGAGAGACAUGCGCGCAUAUCAAUAAGCGGAGGAAAAGAAACUAACAAGGAUUCCCCUAGUAACGGCGAGUGAAGCGGGAAGAGCUCAAAUUUGAAAUCUUAAAGGGUUUCCCUUUACGAAUUGUAGUUUAAAGAAGUGUUUUCUGUUGAGGUUUUGGUAAAAGUUCUUUGGAAUAGGACAUCAUAGAGGGUGAGAAUCCCGUAUUUGACCUUUACUUUCAACUUUGUGAUACACUUUCAAAGAGUCGGAUUGUUUGGGAAUGCAGUCCAAAAUGGGUGGUAAAUUUCAUCUAAAGCUAAAUAUUGGCGAGAGACCGAUAGCGAACGAGUACCGUGAGGGAAAGAUGAAAAGAACUUUGAAAAGAGAGUUAAACAGUACGUGAAAUUGUCAAAAGGGAAGCGUUUGACACCAGUGUUGUUUUUCUGAAAAUCAAUUAAAGAACUGUUUAUGCUAAGUUGUUUAGACUUUAUCAGCUAACUGUUUAGUUUUGAGCUUUUCUCUAAUGCACUUUUCAGUUAACAAGUCAACAUCAAUUUCUUUUGCUGUAAAAAAGCUUGAGGAAGGUGGCUUGAGAUUCGUCUUAAGUGUUUAUAGCCUCUUGCCUAUGCAGUCGGAGAGAUUGAGGUCUGCAGCGUAGAUCCUUCGGGGCUAAAUGCAUUUGUGCUAAGUUAUAGCAUUUUAUAGACAACUUGUUGACUAUGAUUUGUCUUGUAGCUUACUCGCUUAUGUUAUUUUACCUACGCUUAGGAUGUUGAGCGCAUGUCUCUCUCU
rnacentral:rRNA from 1 species